rnacentral:rRNA from 1 species
AUUGAACGCUGGCGGCAGGCUUAACACAUGCAAGUCGAGCGGAGAGAGGUAGCUUGCUACUGAUCUUAGCGGCGGACGGGUGAGUAAUGCUUAGGAAUCUGCCUAUUAGUGGGGGACAACAUUUCGAAAGGAAUGCUAAUACCGCAUACGUCCUACGGGAGAAAGCAGGGGAUCUUCGGACCUUGCGCUAAUAGAUGAGCCUAAGUCGGAUUAGCUAGUUGGUGGGGUAAAGGCCUACCAAGGCGACGAUCUGUAGCGGUUCUGAGAGGAUGAUCCGCCACACUGGGACUGAGACACGGCCCAGACUCCUACGGGAGGCAGCAGUGGGGAAUAUUGGACAAUGGGCGCAAGCCUGAUCCAGCCAUGCCGCGUGCGUGAAGAAGGCCUUAUGGUUGUAAAGCACUUUAAGCGAGGAGGAGGCUACUUUAGAUAAUACCUAGAGAUAGUGGACGUUACUCGCAGAAUAAGCACCGGCUAACUCUGUGCCAGCCGCCGCGGUAACAC